ACUUUUAUAGGAUAAAAGUAAUCCAUUGGUCUUAGGAACCAAAAAC
rnacentral:tRNA from 1 species